CCUACGGGGUGCAGCAGUGAGGAAUAUUGGUCAAUGGCCGGGAGGCUGAACCAGCCAAGUCGCGUGAGGGAAGACGGCCCUACGGGUUGUAAACCUCUUUUGUCAGGGAGCAAGGUGCAGGUCGGGACCUGCUGUGUGAGUACCUGAAGAAAAAGCAUCGGCUAACGCCGUGCCAGCAGCCUAGGUAAUACGGAGGAUGCGAGCGUUAUCCGGAUUUAUUGGGUUUAAAGGGUGCGCAGGCGGCGGCAGAAGUCAGCGGUAAAAUCGCGGGGCUCAACCCCGCUCCGCCGUUGAAACUGUGUCCCUUGAGUGCGCGAAGGGUAGGCGGAAUGCGUGGGGUAGCGGUGAAAUGCAUAGAUAUCACGCAGAACUCCGAUUGCGAAGGCAGCCUACUAAACUGCCACUGACAUUGAUGCUCGAAAGUGUGGGUAUCAAACAGGAUUAGAUACCCGAGUAGUC
rnacentral:rRNA from 1 species